GUAGGUGGCAAGCGUUGUCCGGAAUUAUUGGGCGUAAAGCGCGCGCAGGCGGUUCUUUAAGUCUGAUGUGAAAGCCCACGGCUCAACCGUGGAGGGUCAUUGGAAACUGGAGAACUUGAGUACAGAAGAGGAAAGCGGAGUUCCACGUGUAGCGGUGAAAUGCGUAGAGAUGUGGAGGAACACCAGUGGCGAAGGCGGCUUUCUGGUCUGUAACUGACGCUGAGGCGCGAAAGCGUGGGGAGCAAACAGGGAUUAGAUACCCUGGUAGUCCACGCCGUAAACGAUGAGUGCUAAGCGUUAGGGGGUUUCCGCCCCCUUAGUGCUGCAGCUAACGCAUUAAGCACUCCGCCUGGGGAGUACGGCCGCAAGGCUG
rnacentral:rRNA from 1 species